rnacentral:lncRNA from 1 species
CUACCUCAAACCUCAACAAUAGUUGAUAACAUAAUUAAAGUCAAUAAAAAAGCCUAAUUGAAGGAAAUUAAGUUAUUUACUUUAUUAGCUAUAAAAUCUUAUUCAUUCAUUUAGUUACUUGACGGGCAUAUACAAUUAAAAGUUAAUCAUAUAUAUAAAUUAGUUCUCGCUCUACCUAUUUGCUAUUAGGGUCGCACAUAUAUACAAACGCUAAAGAAAACAAAUAGAAAAUACUAGUUUGAUCCCUGUGCAAUGCACGAGUCUACUGUACUUAAUAAUUAAAACAUAUUAUUUUACUUCAUAUUGUUUUUUUAAUUAAAAGAUUUACAAAUAAUGUAAAUAAAGAAAUUUAAAAAUAAAAUAUUCAAAAAAUACUAUGUCAAAUUAAAUAAUUUUAAGAAAUAAGUACUUUAUUUUAAUAAAAAAUGAGAAUCCUUUUUAUUAAAUAUUCAUAAAUUGAUUUUUAAAUAGAUUUUUUAUAUUUAUAUAAUGAUUAAGAUUUGAGCCCAACAAUUUUAUUAAUAUUGUCGUUCACUUGCCGUAAUUAUAUAGUGCCACAUAGGGUUAUUUCCUAAUUUGGUUGUACAGAUUAUGUAUAAUAUAUAGGGUUAUUAUUUGAUAUAUUAGCGGUGGUGUUUUUAACUCGGCAAGGAAAUUUAAGAAACGGUCAAUUGUCUUUAAUUGAUAUUAAAAAACACUAAAUAAAUAAUACACAUGAUGGUUUUUUAAACUGUUUGUGGAAUUAAAAAAUUUCACCACUAAAUAUCAAAUAAUAAUAUUUGUAUAUUAUUUAUACAAUGAUAAAUGGUUGAGAUGUUGAUUUUCAUUUUUUACAUUAACUUGUUUCAUGCAAAUUUUUUAUUUAGCCUACAAGUCGAAUAUACUGCUUGCAAGUUAGGGACAAAAAUACAUCCAUUUAUAUGAUUUUUAUUUUACAAAUUAAUCUGGCAUAUCUUAACAUAUCAACUCCAGAUUUGGAUCUUGAAACAUGUAGACACUUGCGUUGAAUGGGCCGCUCGCUUCUAAGAGGAUGGACCUAGAUUUCUUCUCUACUAUUUGUUUUCUUGCAUUUUAUUAUUUUUAUUUAAUAAAUUAAUAAAUUAGUUCCUAUGCACUGGUUAUUCUAUUAAAAAUUAUACUCAUGUCUUCUGUUAAAAGCCGGUCCCUAUACAUUAGAAUGAGAUAAUGUGGCACACCACGUGUAACUAUCUAGUUAUUCUAUCAGCCACAUCGAUUUUUAACAAUAAAAAUCGAUAGAAAUUUUUAAUAGAAAAAGUCAGUUUACUCUUUGAUCUAAUGUAUAAAUAUUAAAUUACCCAUUUUUAAAUAAAUGAAACAAAAUGUAAUCUAUAAAUGAAACAAAAUGUAAUCUAACUCUUAACAUAAAAGCCUCCAUGAUAAUUUUAACAUAAAUUAAAUUUAUUACAAGAAAUAUAAAGGCUACACACCAUCUUUUCCCCACCUCUAAAUUUAGAGGGUAUGUAUAUUUGGGGCAAGCAUUGUUUUCUAGGUUUUAAAGUGUUAAACUUGUCCCUGUAUCAUUUAUUAAAUUAUAUUUUAAUUCUUUUGGAAAACUAAAUAAAUUAGUCAUUAUACAUUAGACGAAGGAGUAAAAUAGUAUUUUUGUUAAACUUGUGCCGUUAAUAUAAGAUAAAAUAAUAAAUUUAGCCUUCAAUCUUUACAUUUCUUUUUUCAAUUUGACUCCUACUAUUUUAUUUGGACCCUAAAAAUUUCAUCGUUGAUAUGAAACUAUUUUAUCUUAUACGUCACAUUAUCAAAUAAUUUAAAAAUUAUUAAAAAAAACUCUUCAAACUGAAAAAAUGUAAAAGAAAUAAAAAAUUAUAAUUUUUUUCCCAAAAUUUCAAUAAAAGAUAUCCAUUUUCAACAAUUUAGGUUACCAUAUUUGUUGCGGUCAUUUUGCACAUUAAGAAAUACCAUUUUCCACAAUUCCAUGGCAGCUUUGUAGUGUGAUUCACGUACCAUGACAUGUUUACAUUAAGAAUCAGUGAAUAAAUAAACAUUAAAGUUCUUUUAGCCUCUAAUUUGGUCGUAUUAGUAUUAAUAAAAAAAAUUAGAUAGUGUUUUAGAAAUCUUUGGAUUUUGUGUAAUUGUGUAACACCCCUUACUCGAGUCCAUAGCCAGAGUCGAGCAUGAGGCGUUACUUAACUUAACUUAAAGGUUCGGAGCAUAAAAAUUUACUUAUAAAAGUUAUUUUACUGUUCUUAAUAAAGCUGUCCACCUGCGCAGAAAUCACUAAAUUAAUUAUAACUCAAGAUACAAAACUCGAAAUUUAGAUCCGUAAAUUUUCUAUGAAACUAGACUCAUAUAUAUUUUCACCAUAAAUUUUUCAGAAUUUUUAGUUCAUCCAAUUAGUACAUUUUAUUAGUUAAAGUCUCCCCUGUUUCACUGGUCGACUAUCCUGACCUCUCGUCACUAAAAUUCAAUUAUCUCAUUGUACAGACUUCAUAUGGUGUUUCUACUUAUUUCUACUUAAAAUAGACUCAUUAAGGAAUCUAUACAUAUAAAUUAUAACUCUUAAUCCCUUUUUUACAAUUUUUAAUGAAUUUCUAAAGUCAAAAUAGGGGACUUCAAAAUCAUUCUGACUCUGUCUCACUAUAAUUAAGAUAUCUAAGAGUAUAUAACUCUUUUGCUUACUCUAUUUCUUUUAUGUCAAAGUAUACUCAUUUAGCUUUAAUUUCAUAUCUCACUCAGCUUCUAAUUCAAUUUACACCAUUUUUGAUGAUUUUUCAAAGUUACAUCAAUGCUGCUGUCCAAGAACUGCUCCAUUGCAAUUUUUUUUAAAAAAUUCAAUAUAACCCCUUUAUAAUUAUCUAACCUUCCCUGCAAAUUUCAAAUCACAACCAAUUCCAGUAUUUCAACUACUUCAUUUAAAUACUAAUGAAGUUCAACCAAUCAACCAUUUCAAACUAAAAACAUGUAUAUAUUUCGAUAUUUAACACAACCAUAACAUUCAAAUUUACUUUGCAUACUUAGUCAUUCAUUCUAUUACUUUUUAUCUCAAUUCCCUAUACAUGCCAUAUAAAUCCAAAUUUAUUUAACAAAAUCUACCAGAGUAAAUCUGGAUAGUGUGAUUUCUGAUGUAGAUCCGAUCCUCCGAAUGUAUAAAUACGUCAAUCUACAAAAAACAAUAAACACACACAAGUAAGCUUAUAGAAAGCUUAGUAAGUUCAUAGGCACAAAACAUGAAUCUUACGAAACAUUUAUACACUUAUACAUUAUACACCAUUACUAAGUUUACCUGUCAACCACAAUCUUUGGUGAGUUCCUUGGUAUAAACUCACUACUACUUAUUCUUUUACCAUAAUUCCUUUGGGCCCAUUUGUCACUUACCAUCCUUGAUCAAAAUUAAGGAACGAUUACGGAAAAUUGAGUACUUCACUUUCACUUUUCCAUACGAUCUCUUAUCACUUGUCCCUGAUCAGAUAAGUGUAGCUAGGCUACCACUUAUCACUUUGUCACUUGAUCAGAUAAGUGUAGCUAAAGCUAUCACUUAUCACUUUAUCACUUGAUGAGAUAAGUGUAGUUAAAGCUACCACUUAUCAGUUUGUCACUUGAUCAGAUAAGUGUAGUUAAAGCUACCACUUAUCACUUUGUCACUUGAUCAGAAGUACUCAAAUCUGGCGUUCCGCUCAAUUUGAUCAUUUGUUCAGUUUUCGCAUUUUUAUUUUAUUUUCAUUUCAUCAAUAAAUAUAUAUUUCAUCAUACAUUAUAUAAUUCAUGAAAUUAACAUUUAAUCAUAAAAUUUCGGCCAUAUGAACUUACCUAGAUCGAUUUGCAGAAUUUGUAAAAGUUCAGGGGCUAAUCGGCUACUUUUUCUUUUCCUUGACUUGUUUCGGGUUCUCGAUAUAAAAUAAAAAUUUAUUCAUUCAUCAACAUAUAAUUCAAUUCUAAUUCAUUUAACAAUUUAUGCCCUUUAAUUUUCUAAAUUACACUUUUACCCCAAACUUUACAAUUUUUACAAUUUGGUCCCUACUUAAUUAACCCCUCAAUUGAUCUAAUUUUUCUCAAUUAACACCUUUUACAACUAUUUUAGACUACUUCAUAGCCUUUAAUAUUCAAAACCGCAACACCAAACCUUAAUUCCCAACUUUUUCACAAUUAAGUCCCUAAAAUCAAUUUCUAUCAAAAUUACUUAAUAAAGUCAUCAUAUAACAAAUUUAAAGCUUUAAUUCCAUGUUUAUUCAUAAUAAAAAUCAAUAACUCAUCAAUGGUAACUCUAAAAAUCAGCCAUGAGAUAAAAAAACUAAUGAACUAAUUAGUUGGACUUAUUUGUAAAAGUAUCAAAAUCACAAAAAUUAGAAGAAAUAAUCAAGAAUUAAACUUACAUGAUUCAAAUAUAUGAAAAACCAGCUUGUUUCAGACCUCCUAUGGCGUUUUUCUGAUAAAUUGUGAAGAGAUCUCUAGAUUUUUCACUUUUGUCUUUGUUUUAUAUGCUUAAUUUGUUAAGUUUCCAAUUUUGCCCCUGUUUCUCCUUACAUUCUGCUGAUUUUUCUUACCCAACCGUCCAGCCCAUAUAAUUUGGGCCUAAUUUCCUUUUAAAUCCCUCCUCAUUAGUCACUUAAGCUAUUUUUAUCACAAUUUAACAAAUUUUACACUAUUUUCAAUUUAGUCCUUUUUAGUUAAUUAACUGUCCAAACGUUAAAAUUUUCUAACGAAACUUUAAUACCAACUCAAUGACACUCUAUAAAUAUUUCUAAAAAUAUUUAUGGCUUGGUUUAAAAUCUUCGACGUCUCGAUACCUCGUUUUUGAUUUUAAUUAUUUUAAUAUUUAUUCCUAGUACACUAUUCACUAUUUCAAAAAUUUUCCUAACUUCACAUUUAACUUAUACUUACUAAAUUUAUAAUAUUUUCUACUCGUUUAUCAGAUUUAGUGAUCUCGAAUCUCCAUUCCGACACCACUAAAAAUUUAGGCUAUUACAAAUUGUUUGUAAUUAUAUAUAGGUGGUAUGUUUGAAUAAUCAUUGUAAUUAGUGAGUUCCAUCGAAUUGAGUGUAAUUGGAGUAGAGGUAUCCUUAAGCCAGGUUGGGUUGGACCCAAGCUCGGUUCCAAUAAUUUCAAACUCAAGCCCGUUUUUGGACCGCCCGCCCAAAAAAUCAAUUUUACUAUUCAAAAAAAUAUUAUUAAAAAUAAUAUUUUAAUUGAUAUUUUAUAUACUUUUAUAAUUAAAUUUAAAUUUAAAAAAUAUUUUAUUAUUAUUAAAUUGAAUUUGUGUCGAGUUGAGGUGCAAAAAUCCUUGUCCAAGCUCGAUUCUAGUCGGGUCAAGUCACAUAGACUACCCGAUCUUUGGACAAGUCUAAAUUGGAGCACCCUAAUUACACUUUCCAGUUUUUAGAGUGAGGGUGAGAAUUGAAGUAAUUACGUUGGUGUUACACUCAAAUCCAAUUUUAAAAAUUAUUUUGAUACAAGUUAUAAAAGAAGAAAUUAUUCAGUAUAUUGUUAGUGGAGUUUUUAAACUCUACAAAUAGGAUAAAGAGUUUGACAAAUGUCUUAUAAGGGUAUAGUAAAAUAUUAAAAAAAACACGUCAAAAUUUUAAGGCUGUUUGUGAAAUAAAAAAAGUACAGUGCCACCCAAUAGUUACUCUUAUAAAAGAAUAUAUUAUAUCUAUGAACAUGUAUAAGUGUUUGGGAUGGUUAUGACAAAAGAAUUCGUGUAUUAUAAAUCCUAAAAGCUUAUAUUAUAAAAGUAACUUGUGUAUUUUAUAAAAUUAUAAUAUAUAUUAUUUAAAUCUUAAAAAAUUCUAAAAUUAUGAUAAAAAAUUAUUAUAAAAAACUAAUUUAUAUGUUAUAAAAAUGUUGUUAUAGCAUUUUUAUUUAUAAUAAGUUAGGGCAAAAAAAUAUGGAUAUAAUUUAUUUAUGUCCUAUAUAAUUUACCUUACUUAAAUUCGGACCUGACCCGGUCUGUCUAUAUUUAAUUUUUUAGAUUAUUUUUUAUUUAAAAAUAUUUUUUUUAAAAAUAUAAUACACUAAAUACACUAAAAAUGCUAAAAUAAAAGUUUUCUAACACAUUAAAAAUAUUUAUAUUAAAAAAGACUACCAUAAAUAUAAUAUAUGCUUUAUUAUAUUAAAAGCGCAAAUAAAUAUAAUAAAUAAUUUAUUGUAUUAAAUAUAAAUUUUAAAAUUUUAUAUUUUGGAUUGGGUUAUUUAGUUGGGUUACUUUUUUUUAGGUUUUGGAUAAUGAGUUUAAUUGUUAUUGAGUUAGUGGUUUAAUAUAAAUAAAUAUAGAUAUAAACAUAUAUAAUCAUUUUUUAUAACAUAAUAUAUUCGGGUCGAACUGAGCUCGUGUCUAAAAUAUUACCCGAGGCUUGGCCUAUAUAGAAAACGGAUAAUAAAUUUUACCCAAUCCCAUUUUUUGGGUCUCAUAUUUUUGUCUAAACUUCUCAUAGUUCAAGUGGAUCUUUAGACCUAAAUGAGUGUAAUGGUGUAUGUAUAGGUUUUAUAGAGCAAAACUAAAAAUAUAUGUAGGGGUGAUAUUGAAUUAUAAGUGUUUUUAGGCUGAUGAUAUUCAAGCGUUUGAAGGAAGAAGAGACCCAAACACUUGUUUGCGACUUCUCUUGAAAUUGUAUAAUCAAUUAUAGUUUUAACAAGAGUUGGUCUCUCACCUAUUAAUUAUAUAUAUCAAUACAAUAGCAUGAGAUUGGUGGUUGAGGGUAAAAGUAUAAAGAAUAUUAAAUAUAAUUAAUAAUUUUUCUUUUAAAAUUAUUCAAGUUUCUUUUUGCUUUCCUUUAUUUUCUUGUGAGUAGUUAAGAAAAUUUUAUGUUUGCCAUACCUUAAUUUUCGUAUCAGUUGUUAAGAAAAUGAUUUUUUUUUUCUAUCAUUUAACAUUUUUCUUUAAAUUUUAAAAUGUGUUUAAAAAUAUUUUCUUUUCGAAAUUCUAUUUUUUUUAAUUUGGAAUUCUGUGUUUUAUUUAUUUAUUUUAGAACAUAUUUUUAUAAUUUUAAAAAAAAUAUGUCUGAAAAUAUAAAACAAAAUAGUGUUACAUAAGCAAGGUAAGAUUGGUGAUCAAUUUACUUCAAAUAAAAGAAUAAGGGCCAAUAUGAAUAAAAGUGUAAAAGUUAAUGGAUAAAACAUCAAAAUAUAAUUCUUUUACAUGCAAAGUAAUUUACCCAUUUUUGGAUAAAAAGACUAAGCUCCAGCCUGGAAUUAAGCCUCCAGUGAGGUGAAAUGCAUUUUCAACCUACUGAACAAUGCUUUCCAAAUAGUCUUGCGUUUACUAACAUUUCAGUUGCAAUUUUUUUUAGCUUAAAAAAGCCAACGUACUGAGAUGCAGUUGCAUCCAAAGGAGGCUUAAAUUAAAUAUAUAUGAAGAUAGUUGUAGACUGCAAUGAUAGUAAAUAAACAUCCUUUCUUUGGACAUAUGAGCAUGGAAUAUUGUGUACCUGUAUUUAAGGAAUAUCCUAAUCCCACGAGCCAUGUUCUGGUGCCCAGACAGGCUGCCAGAUGCUUCUUCCAAAAACCAUUCAAAUCAGACAUCGACUACCAAACCGUCAGGCAAGCCCGACAUCUAUUGAAAUUCAACCUCAUUUCAUAUUGAUCGUCUCAUUCCUAAACAUUAGCUCUUCUCUGGGUUUGGUUUGGUCUAUUGCUUUAAAUCAAUUAUCCCAAAAUGACUCCUAGAAUCUAGGUGCUAAAAUAAGUAGUCGAUUCAUAUGAAAUGAAAACGCUGUUGCUCGCAUACUAGCGCUACUAAAUGACCAAUUAUUGCUUUGGACGAAUGCAGCAUGUGAUUUGCCCUGCCAACACAAUAUUCUUCCAUUUCCAGUGGUGGCCAACCGGAUUGAUUAGCUUAAGUGUCAAUUGGUCCACUUCUGAUUUCCUACCCAUUUAAUAUUUGUUGCCAAUGUUAAAGAGUAAGGGAUGAGGAUAGCCAUUAACCACCAUCCGCUCUUUAAAUAAUACCUAAAAUAGGCAACCACCCACCCUGCUUCAUCCAUCAAAAUUUCACAAAGUAAAUAAAAAACAAACCUAAAUUAAGGAAUUCUUUUUUCGUUAAAACUCGUUUCAUAAUCCCAUUAUUGCUAUGUUGUUGUAUCAAAGAGGAUCGUCUUGCUCAAGACUCUAGAGUGUAGCCAGCUCAUUCCAGCAAACUCCCACUCCCUACAUCUUAUCCCUUAAAAUCCCCCCCACUGGCUCUCUCCUUCACAUAUUCCUUUCCAACACAAACCAAAAGACAUGGCUUCAUCAUCUCCUCUUUCUCCCAUUCUCCUCUCUCUGUUUCUAGUAUUCAUUUGUGGGGUGUCAGCUCAAACGGCUCCCGCCCCUGCCCCCUCUGGCCCCUUGAAUUUCACUGGAAUCCUUGACAAAAAUGGCCAAUACACCUACUUCCUUCAGCUUUUGGCACAGACUCAAGUUGGGAGCCAAGUACAAACUCAACUGAAAACCACCACUGAAGGCUUUACCGUCUUUGCUCCCACAGAUAAUGCCUUCAACAACCUCAAACCUGGUACCGUCAAUAACCUGGACCCACAACAGAAAGUACAACUAGUUCUAUACCACGUUAUUCCCAAAUACUACUCCUUGAACGAUCUCCAAUUUGUUAGCAACCCCGUUAGAACCCAAGCUGGUCAGGAUUUCGGCCUCAACGUCACUGGCCUGAACAACCAGGUUAACGUCUCAAGCGGGGUUGUCGAGACUCAGAUUAACAACGCAUUAUAUCAAAAGAAACCUCUGGCAAUUUAUCAAGCGGACAAGGUGUUGUUGCCUGAAGAGUUUUUUGAAGCUAAAUCCCCAGCGGCUGCACCUUCACCGGCGACAAAGAAAUCAUCAACAGGGUCUAAAUCGAACUCAAGAGCAUCAGCAACCGCAGAUGAGCCAGCUUCUGCUGAUAAUUCAGGCUCAGCCGGAAGGAAUAUGGGGCUGAGAUUCGUUGUUGGGCUUGCAUUGGCUUGCAUGGGAUUUCUCUCAUGAGCGGAUAUAUAUGAAGUUGGUCUGCAUUUUUUACUAUAAAUUUUCGUUUUUCAAAUGGAUCGAUAAGGGUCUGAUUGGUCGUUGAACAUAUUCUUGUUAUCCACAUUAUUUGUAUUUCCAGAAUUUUUUGUUGAUUUUGCUUCUGCGCGCUG